rnacentral:lncRNA from 1 species
GAGUUUGAGCUGCAGGGUGGUGCCCUUCACGGCCGCGAACACGAAGCGGAUGUUCUUCGUGUAGAUGAUCUUGUCGCCGUCGGGGUUCGUGUCCACGAACAUCUUCAGGAUGAACUCCCGCGCCGCCUGGGCGUCCCACUGGGGCCCGUCGAACUCGGGGACGGAGCCCACCAGGUGCGGGUACAGGAUACUGUCCUCCAGCAGGUCCUUCUUGUUGAGGAAGAGGAUGACGGAGUUCUGGAACCAGGGAUAGUUGACGAUGGUCCGGAACAGGGCUUUGCUCUCCUCCAUCGGGUUCUCCUUGUCCGACUCCACCAGAACUUGGUCGUAUUCACCGAGGGCGACGAGAAACAGGAUGGACGUCAGGUUCCCAAAGCAGUGGAUCCGCUUCCUGGAGCCGACCGCUGUCCCCCCACAUCCACCAUCCUGAAGAUGAUGCUCUCCAGGUCGAAAGAUGCCGGUGGUUGGCACGCGGCCCCGCAGCGCGUCCUGCGGGUUGGGCAGGUGGCCCGAGGUGGCGAUGCGGGCAGCGUCCGUCAGGCAGUACUUGGCCAGGUCCGAGAGCUGGCACUGGCGCCUGCGGUCGCAGCACUCCUGGAUGCCGGGGUCGCCCACAGGGGCCUGAUGGCGCUGACGUACCAGUGCUCCAAGGUGGUCGCCUUCUCCAGGUCCGCCUCUCGGAUCAGGAGCCACUGGCCUUGUUCUGCUCCUCCUUGUGGAGGAUCUUCAGCGACUCCUUGGCACGGAUCGUGGCCUGGAUGGCGGUGAAGAUGUUGUGGUAGACGAGCUUGGUGAAGCCGCGCUUGGCCUCCUCCGAGUGGCCGGGGCCCUGGACGAUGCGCGUCUGGUUGAUGAAGAUGCUCUUCCCGCUCUCGCCCUUGCGGAGCAGCAGCAGCUUGAGCUGGCGCCGGGCGUGGCACUUGUCCCCCGCAGCUGCUUCUGGAUCUCGGCGUUGAUCCGCUCCUUCACCUCAUCGCUCAGGCAACACGCCAUCACGGACUCCAGAGUCAUCCCCCCGCCCGGCCGCCGCCCACCGGCCCCCGCCCGGCCCGCCCCGCCUCGGCCGCUGCCUGCGAGCCGCCGGGUCCCCGCUGGGGCAGCGCCAACCGCAGACUCCUUC